GACCACACUCCUCGCGGGGGCCCCGAAACCAGAGGAAAGGAAAAGGAGAGAAAGUCCUCGCCGACUCACCAACUCGCCGACUCGCCGACUCGCCGACUCGCCGACUCACCGACUCACCGACUCACCAACUUUGCACCGAAACUCAGAGUCCAGACGUCAAGACUCAAAGCCCCUCAUUCAGUGCCAAAGGAUGAAGAUUUAGACUAUAAGUGGGGUCCAGAGCCAACAACCAAAAAAGAAUUCUUAAGACAUUUCUGGUGCAAAAAAGGCAAAACUCAUUUUGCAAGAGGCUCAGAACAGUUAACUAUAAAUGACAAAGGAUCCAGAAAUGGACACAUUUCUUUUGCGUCUGUUCUCCACGUCAUUACUAUGUUCGGGGCGAAAGGAGGCAGCGCUUCUCAGGGACGACUGCGGUGCGGAAUUUCUUUUUCUCUGGUGUUCUUGGUCGUGCCGCCUCGAAAAAUGAAGAGGUAGACCAGACCAGGGUGGUGAGUAGCAAAACAGUUUAUCGAGCAAUGGUAGAAAGCUCCUGAAGAGGGAAGGACCCAAGAGGGUUGCCGAUUUGGCGUUUAAAUCUGAG
rnacentral:lncRNA from 1 species